CCUACGGGAGGCAGCAGUAGGGAAUCUUUCACAAUGGGCGAAAGCCUGAUGGAGCAACGCCGCGUGCAGGAUGAAGGCCUUCGGGUUGUAAACUGCUUUUAUAAGCGAGAAAUAUGAUGGUAACUUAUGAAUAAGGAUCGGCUAACUACGUGCCAGCAGCCGCGGUCAUACGUAGGAUCCGAGCAUUAUCCGGAGUGACUGGGUGUAAAGAGUUGCGUAGGUGGCAUAAUAAGUAGCUAGUGAAAUCUGGUGGCUCAACCAUUCAGACUAUUAGGUAAACUGUUAAGCUCGAGAACGUUAGGGGUAACUGGAAUUUCUAGUGUAGGAGUGAAAUCCGUAGAUAUUAGAAGGAACACCAAUAGCGUAGGCAGGUUACUGGGACGGUUCUGACACUAAGGCACGAAAGCGUAGGGAGCAAACGGGAUUAGAUACCCCAGUAGUC
rnacentral:rRNA from 1 species